CCUGAUCCAGCAAUGCCGCGUGAGUGAAGAAGGCCUUCGGGUUGUAAAGCUCUUUUGUCAGGGAAGAAACGGGUGUGGCUAAUAUCCGCGUCUAAUGACGGUACCUGAAGAAUAAGCACCGGCUAACUACGUGCCAGCAGCCGCGGUAAUACGUAGGGUGCAAGCGUUAAUCGGAAUUACUGGGCGUAAAGCGUGCGCAGGCGGUUUUGUAAGUCUGUCGUGAAAUCCCCGGGCUCAACCUGGGAAUGGCGAUGGAGACUGCAUGGCUAGAAUCUGGCAGAGGGGGGUAGAAUUCCACGUGUAGCAAUGAAAUGCGUAGAGAUGUGGAGGAACACCGAUGGCGAAGGCAGCCCCCUGGGUCAGGAUUGACGCUCAUGCACGAAAGCGUGGGGAGCAAACAGGAUUAGAUACCCUGGUAGUCCACGCCCUAAACGAUGUCUACUAUUUGUCGGGUCUUAAUUGACUUGGUAACGCAGCUAACGCGUGAAGUAGACCGCCUGGGGAGUACGGUCGCAAGAUUAAAACUCAGAGGAAUUGACGGGGACCCGCACAAGCGGUGGAUGAUGUGGAUUAAUUCGAUGCAACGCGAAAAACCUUACCUACCCUUGACAUGGAAGGAAUCCUCGAGAGAUUG
rnacentral:rRNA from 1 species